UACGUAGGGUGCAAGCGUUAAUCGGAAUUACUGGGCGUAAAGCGUGCGCAGGCGGUUUUGUAAGUCUGUCGUGAAAGCCCCCGGCUCAACUGGGGAGGGUCAUUCGAUACUGAUCGACUCGAAGGCAGGAGAGGGUAGUGGAAUUCCCGGUGUAGUGGUGAAAUGCGUAGAUAUCGGGAAGAACACCCGUGGCUAAGGCGGCUCUCUAGUACGGUACUGACGCUGAGGUUCGAAAGCUCGGGGAGCAAACAGGG
rnacentral:rRNA from 1 species